ACCCGCUGAACUUAAGCAUAUCAAUAAGCGGAGGAAAAGAAACUAACAAGGAUUCCCCUAGUAACUGCGAGUGAAGCGGGAAAAGCUCAAAUUUAAAAUCUGGCGGUCUUUGGCCGUCCGAGUUGUAGUCUGGAGAAGUGCUUUCCGCGCUGGACCGUGUAUAAGUCUCUUGGAACAGAGCGUCAUAGAGGGUGAGAAUCCCGUCUUUGACACGGACUACCAGUGCUUUGUGAUGCGCUCUCAAAGAGUCGAGUUGUUUGGGAAUGCAGCUCAAAAUGGGUGGUGAAUUCCAUCUAAAGCUAAAUAUUGGCGAGAGACCGAUAGCGAACAAGUACCGUGAGGGAAAGAUGAAAAGCACUUUGGAAAGAGAGUUAAACAGUACGUGAAAUUGCUGAAAGGGAAACGCUUGAAGUCAGUCGCGUUGUCCGGAACUCAGCCUUGCUUUCGCUUGGUGCACUUUCCGGAUGACGGGUCAGCAUCGAUUUUGACCGUCGGAAAAGGGCUGGAGUAAUGUGGCACCUCCGGGUGUGUUAUAGACUCCGGUCGCAUACGGCGGUUGGGAUCGAGGAACGCAGCGCGCCGCAAGGCAGGGGUUCGCCCACUUUCGCGCUUAGGAUGCUGGCAUAAUGGCUUUAAACGACCCGUCUUGAAACACGGACCAAGGAGUCUAACAUACCUGCGAGUGUUUGGGUGGAAACCCGAGCGCGUAAUGAAAGUGAAAGUUGAGAUCCCUGUCGUGGGGAGCAUCGACGCCCGGACCUGACGUUCUCUGACGGAUCCGCGGUAGAGCAUGUAUGUUGGGACCCGAAAGAUGGUGAACUAUGCCUGAAUAGGGUGAAGCCAGAGGAAACUCUGGUGGAGGCUCGUAGCGAUUCUGACGUGCAAAUCGAUCGUCAAAUUUGGGUAUAGGGGCGAAAGACUAAUCGA
rnacentral:rRNA from 1 species